AAGUAUAUGCAUAUUUUAUAUGUAGAAACUGCGAACGGCUCAUUAAAACAGUUAUAAUCUACUUGACAUUUUUUCUAUAAGGAUAACUACGGAAAAGCUGUAGCUAAUACUUGCUUUAGCACUCUUGAUUAAGUUCUUGAGUGUGUACUUGUUAAGCCUUUUAAGAAAAAAGUUAUUAACUUAAGGAAUUAUAACAAAGAAGUAACACGUAAUGGAUCCGUCCAUUUUUAGUGUGUAUCAAUCGAGUUUCUGACCUAUCAGCUUUUGAUGUUAGGGUAUUGGCCUAACAUGGCUAUGACGGGUAACGGGGAAUUAGAGUUCGAUUCCGGAGAGGGAGCCUGAGAAAUAGCUACCACAUCUAAGGAAGGCAGCAGGCGCGUAAAUUACCCAAUUCUAAAGAAGAGAGGUAGUGACAAGAAAUAACAAUACAAGGCCAAUCUGGCUUUGUAAUUGGAAUGAUGGGAAUUUAAAACCUUCCCAAAACUCAAUUGGAGGGCAAGUCUGGUGCCAGCAGCCGCGGUAAUUCCAGCUCCAAUAGCGUAUAUUAAAAUUGUUGCAGUUAAAACGCUCGUAGUUGAAUUUCAAAGAAUCGAUAUUUUAAGCAACGCUUUUAGCUUAAUCCACAUAACUGAUACUACGUAUCGACUUUGUGCGCAUUUUGCUAUUAUGUGUUCUUUUAAUUAAAAUGAUUCUUUUUAAGGUCUUUCUCUUGCUUCGGCAUUUGAAGAUCUUGUUACUUUGAGUAAAUUAGAGUGUUCAAAGCAAACAGAUAUAGCAUUGCGCGUUUGAAUACUACAGCAUGGAAUAACAAAAUUGAACAAGUCAGAAUUUUGUUCUUUUUUCUUAUUUUGGCUUAGUUACGAUUAAUAGGAGUAGCUUGGGGGCAUUUGUAUUCAGAUGUCAGAGGUGAAAUUCUUAGAUUUUCUGGAGACAAACAACUGCGAAAGCAUUUGCCUAAAAUACUUCCAUUAAUCAAGAACGAAAGUUAAGGGAGUGAAGACGAUCAGAUACCGUCGUAAUCUUAACCAUAAACUAUGCCGACUAGGCUUUGGAUGAAAGAUUUUAAAAUAAGAGAUUUUCUCUUCGGAGUUAAUCUCUUAGAUUGCUUCCUUCAGUGCCUUAUGAGAAAUCAAAGUCUUUGGGUUCUGGGGCGAGUAUUCGCGCAAGCGAGAAAGUUAAAAGAAUUGACGGAAGGGCACCACCAGGCGUGGAGCUUGCGGCUUAAUUUGACUCAACACGGGAAAACUCACUAGUUUAAGACAAGAGUAGGAUUGACAGAUUAAUAGCUCUUUCUUGAUUUCUUGGAUGGUGAUGCAUGGCCGUUUUUAGUUCGUGAAUAUGAUUUGUCUGGUUAAUUCCGAUAACGAACGAGAUCUUAACCUGCUAAUUAGCGGCAAAUACGAUAUAUUCUUAUGUGGGAUUGAAUACGGUUGAUUUGCUUAUUUUGAAGAAAAUAUUGGGAUGCGUAAAGUGUCCCUUUCCCUUUUCUACUUAAUUCGCUUAUCAUACUGUUUCUCUUUCGCGUAAGAAUGUAUUUGCUUGAUUGUAAAGCUUCUUAGAGGAACGAUGUGUGUCUAACACAAG
rnacentral:rRNA from 1 species